rnacentral:sRNA from 1 species
CGCUUAUUUUUACGGGUAUUGGUUUAGCCAAGGGCUGGCCUGAUCCCGUCAGGCGGCCCACUCAGCACCGGCCGCCCACCGCAAGAAUCAAGAAACCCCCGGUCGGCCACCCGACCGGGGG